UACGGGGGGGGCAAGCGUUGUUCGGAAUUACUGGGCGUAAAGGGCUCGUAGGCGGCCAACUAAGUCAUACGUGAAAUCCCUGGGCUCAACCCAGGAACUGCGUCCAAGACUGGGAGGCUUGAAUCCGGGAGAGGGAUGCGGAAUUCCAGGUGUAGCGGUGAAAUGCGUAGAUAUCUGGAGGAACACCGGUGGCGAAGGCGGCAUCCUGGACCGGGAUUGACACUGAGGCGCGAAAGCCAGGGGAGCAAACGGG
rnacentral:rRNA from 1 species